UACGUAGGGGGCAAGCGUUGUUCGGAAUCACUGGGCGUAAAGCGCACGUAGGCGGAUUGGUAAGUCGGGGGUGAAAUCCUGGAGCUCAACUCCAGAACUGCCUUUGAUACUGAAGAUCUUGAGUCCGGGAGAGGUGAGUGGAACUGCGAGUGUAGAGGUGAAAUUCGUAGAUAUUCGCAAGAACACCAGUGGCGAAGGCGGCUCACUGGCCCGGUACUGACGCUGAGGCACGAAAGCGUGGGGAGCAAACAGG
rnacentral:rRNA from 1 species